rnacentral:rRNA from 1 species
UACGUAGGGUGCAAGCGUUGUCCGGAAUUAUUGGGCGUAAAGAGCUCGUAGGCGGCUAGUCGCGUCGACUGUGAAAACCCGGGGCUCAACUCCGGGCCUGCAGUCGAUACGGGCUGGCUUGAGUGCGGUAGGGGAGACUGGAAUUCCUGGUGUAGCGGUGAAAUGCGCAGAUAUCAGGAGGAACACCGGUGGCGAAGGCGGGUCUCUGGGCCGUAACUGACGCUGAGGAGCGAAAGCGUGGGGAGCGAACAG